GCAGCACUCUAGAGCCGGAUGGGGGAGAGCAGACAGGUCACUGGGCCCCACCGGAACAGAGUGCAUGACGGGGGACAAUGACCGUCACAGGCAGCGUGGCCGAGCAGCCAGCACUCGCCAGCCGCUGUCUGGAGCACGUGACAGACAUGCUGGCGUGCAACCAAGGCCGCUUCUGUCAUCGUCAUGUCAGUGGGUAAAUCGUCCAGCCUCUGUGGCACCCCACACCCCGUCAUCCGUGAACCGGGAGCGGCCCAUGUUCCGCAGACGCCGGGCUAACGAGCGACCAUGCAGGCUUGGCGUCGCACACUCACGCCCUUACUCAAUCACCCCGA